ensembl:lncRNA
GAUCAAUGGGAACUCUUUGAGUUCAAAGAAGAUUUUAAUUUCCUUCUGUCAAGUGCCCAGGGACACUAAAAACCUAGGUCCACUCUUAAGAUUUUUCCAACUUGCAGUUAUUGGAAAGGGGGUCAUACGCAUAGUAUAAAAUCCAUUUCCAAACCCAUUUCCAAAGGGGGCUCGUCAAACUUUGUCCUCCACCCAAAGCCAAAAAGUGAAAGGGACAAUUCUCUUUGCUGUGUGAUAGUGUGUAAGGUAUUUCUCUCCUAGUCCACUUUUUCUCUGAGGGUAUAACUGUUCUAAAGUCUUGGCUUUAUAAGAAAUGGCCUUGGAUCACUGACCCUUUUUUCCACCCUAAGAGAGCUCAAGGCUUAUCAGAGGCACACUACUCUGCCUCACCUCUACCAAAAUUCCAGUUCUGUUGUGGCUUAGCAGGUUAAGAACUUGACAUAGUGUCCAUGAGGAUGCAGGGUCAAUCUCUGGCCUCACUCAGUGGGUUAAGGAUCUGGAAUUGCUGUGAGCUGUGGCAUAGGUCACAGAUGCAGCUCGGAUCUGGCAUUGCCAUGGCUGUCGUGUGGGCCUGCAGCUGCAGUCCAAUUUGACCCCUAGCCUGAGAACUUCUAAAUGCCACAGGUGCAGCCCUAAAAAGGAAAAAAAAAAAAAAAAUUCUAGGUCAUUAAAAUCUAAAUACCCAACGUAUCAUCAGUGGAGUUGAAUCUGGGGGUAAAGUUUUGUGAACAGCAGAUAAUUUACGUGGUCACAGGAUGUCUUCCCCACAGAUUGCUUUUUAGUUGCAAAAGGAUAACUAGCAACUAUCCAACAGAGGAACCAAACUACACCCUUGACUAGAUAAUCAAAAUUAAUAUCACUAAUGACAGACAGAAGGACACUGUGUGCAUCUGGAUGUGACACCAUGAAAAAGACAUUACUUCUGUAGUAUUCUAACCAGGCAUGUGUUCCCUGAAUCUAAUAACGAAACAUCAGACCCCAAGUGAAAAACAUUCUAUAAAAUAACUGGCCUAUGUUCUUUAAAAGUACCAAUGUUAUGCAAGACAGAAAUAUUGAGAAACUGUCCCAGAUUACAGGAGAUUAAAGAGCACGACAAAUUCAUGCAAUUUGUAAUCCUGGCCUGGAUCCUACACGUGAGGGUGAGGGUUAGGGGAUGCUAAAAAGGGCAUUCCUGGGACAACUGAGAAAACUGGAGAUACGGACUCUAGAUUAAACAAAACUGUCGCUUAUUAGAGUUAAACUUCUUCAAAUUGAUAAUUAUAUUGUAGUUAAAUAAAAGAAUAUCCUUGUUCUAAAGAAAUACACUUGAAGUAAAGGACAAGAUGUUACAAUGUAAUCUCAACGGACUCAGAAAAAGGACUUUUCUAUCCAUACACACAUACGGGGUGAGGGGGGAGCAAAUCUACCAUGGCAAAAUGCUAAAAUUGGAACCUCCCUACCAUGCCGGUAAAUUUUCUGUAGAUUUUGAAAUUAUUUCAAAAUACAAAGCAAAAAAAGGGAGUGCCCUGCUCAGUGGGCUAAGGAGCUGGCGUUGCCAUGAGCUGCAGUGUAGGUCACAGACAUGGCUCAGAUCUGGUGUUGCUGUGGCACAGGCCUGCAGCUGCAGCUCUGAUUCAACCCCUAGCCCAGGAACUUCCAUAUGCUGCAGGUGUGGCCCUAAAAAACAAAAUACUAAUAAUAAUAAAACGAAGAAAUAAAGCAAAAUGGUCCCAUGUUAAGAAAAAAAAAAAAAAAACAAACAACAAAGGAGUUCCUGCUGUGGCUCAGUGGUAAGGAACCCACAGAGUAUCCAAGAGGAUGAGGGUUUGACCCCUGACCUCGCUCAGUGGAUUAAGGAUCCAGCAUUGCUGUGAGGUGUGGUGUAGGUCGCAGACAAGGCUUGGAUCCCGAGCUGCUGUGGCUGCAGUGUAGGCCGGCAGCUAGAGCUCUGAUGCGACCCCUAGCCUGGGAACCUCCAUAUGCCACAGGUGUGGCCAUAGCAAAAAAACAACAAACAAGUAAACAAACAAAACACAUAUAGCGUUUGUAGUAACAAACUAUACUGAACCGAAAACGACCGUUUUACCAAAUAUUUCUGCUGAGGAACAGGUGAAGCAAUAACAUAGAGUUCUGCUCCUGCUUAAGAUACAGAAAGAACAUCUCUCCCAUCCUAACAAGAAAAGGCGAGAUAAUCUAUAAAAUCAUAACAUUUCUUGAGCUUAUCAGAGAGCUGGAGUCACAAGGUAACCAAGUGAACAGAAUUCUAAAGAGUGACAAGUCCCUCCAUGGAGAGACAAGGCAGACGAACUGUGUGACCUUUCACAGAGCACAGGAGGAAGUGGUGGCUCUCAUAAAAUUAAGUAAGAAGAAAGCAGCUUAAAUUUUAACGAAUUCUUAUAAAGCCGAGUGUAGCGUGGCAUAGCAUAUCAAAUCCCUGGGAUCUCGACACCACUGCUGUCUGAAAUGGCUUGCAAGCUCGUUUCCGUUGGGCCUCUGCUGGAUGCUCAUGAGAAAGAGUGGGACUAGAGCAGGAGACUAGAGAACAGACAAAGGUAGAAGGUCCAGCCCUUCUGGUCACAUCAAAGUGUGAAGAGAGGAAGAAGCAAAUAGUGAUAACGUGUGUUAUUACUUCUCCUUCCUGCAAAAUUCUGAGGAAAGAGAUGAUGUAUCAGUCAGGGUCCAGUCAAGAGACAGAAACCACCUCAGUAAUUUGUGCAGGGAAAAUUUAAUAUAAAGCAUAGGAAACAUGAAAGACUCAGAAUUUAACUACCUCCCCCCCCCAAAAAAGUGUGUAAACCAAAAAGAUAUGAGACUUCGUUAAAUGGCUAAUUAAAACACUUCUCUUUACCUCUUCCCAUGACAAGAUGGCAAUUUAUGAGGAAGACAGACUGGUGAUUAAAAAAAAAAAAAAAAAAA